rnacentral:misc_RNA from 1 species
AAGGGAAAGGGAGGAAACAGAGGAAAUCAUUGGCAUGGGCGGGCAUGGCAAGAAUUUGAUUUUGAAGAUCUUUUUAUGUUCAUGCCAAUCCUCCCAUGUCCAAUCACUUCCCCUGCAGCCUUCUCUUUACCGCUUCUCUCUUCCUGCUAAUUCACUAACCUCAGGUGUUGUUGAGUAGAUAAGACCACCAAAAACACAAGACUUAAGGGAGCAAGUG